CACAAAAACCCUAGAAAAUCCUAAAGAAUGAAUUAUCACUCAACCAUUCCUUGUGAAAUGCAGGUACAGAUAGAUGAGGAGAGGAAGACCCCCACUAAACCGAGCAGCCCAAGAGGGUUCGCUUCAAGAGGAUGUUAACUGAUUAUUUAAAAUGCUAGAGAGACUCAUCAUUGCCAAGUAGGCCUAGGAGGAAAGGAGGGAGUUACCUGACCCUUUUCUGCUGCCACAAGUCGAGCAACCCUGAUACGACCCUACUCUUCCACAAUACAAUACAGUACCUCCACAGUAUGAUCCGGUGCCCCAACCACAUGACCUGACACCAUCAUAGUAUAAUCCAGUGCCUCCACCGUAUCAUCUAGUACCACCACAGGGCCAUCCAGUCCAUCCCCAGCAUAAUCUAGUCCCUCUCCCACGAGAACCAGCUCCUCCCAUGGUAGACCCAGGCUACAUUGAGAGGUAUAAAAGACUAAAUCCAUCUACUUUUGCAAGUAGAUCUUCCUUUGAAGAGGUCGAGUACUGGUUAACUAAGAUAGAGAAGGC
rnacentral:lncRNA from 1 species